GACGAACGCUGGCGGCGUGCCUAAUACAUGCAAGUCGAGCGGGCCUCCGGAGGUGCUUGCACCUCCGGAAGGCCAGCGGCGGACGGGUGAGUAACACGUGGGCAACCUGCCUUUGAGGCCGGGAUAACACCGGGAAACCGGUGCUAAUACCGGAUGCGUCCUCUUUCGUGCCUGCGAGAGGGGAGAAAGACGGUCUUCGGGCCGUCGCUCAAAGAGGGGCCCGCGGCGCAUUAGCUGGUUGGUGGGGUAAGGGCCUACCAAGGCGACGAUGCGUUGCCGACCUGAGAGGGUGAUCGGCCACACUGGGACUGGGACACGGCCCAGACUCCUGCGGGAGGCAGCAGUAGGGAAUCAUCCGCAAUGGGCGAAAGCCAGAUGGUGCAACGCCGCGUGAGUGAGGAAGGUUUUCGGAUCGUAAAGCUCUGUUGUGAGGGAAGAACAGCUUCCGGAGGAAAUGCCGGAGGUUUGCCGGUACCUCACCAGAAAGCCCCGGUUAACUACGUGCCAGCCGCCGCCGUAA
rnacentral:rRNA from 1 species